UACGUAGGUGGCAAGCGUUGUCCGGAUUUAUUGGGCGUAAAGCACGCGCAGGCGGUUUCUUAAGUCUGAUGUGAAAGCCCUCGGCUUAACCGAGGAGGGUCAUUGGAAACUGGGAGACUUGAGUGCAGAAGAGGAAAGUGGAAUUCCAAGUGUAGCGGUGAAAUGCGUAGAGAUUUGGAGGAACACCAGUGGCGAAGGCGACUUUCUGGUCUGUAACUGACGCUGAGGCGCGAAAGCGUGGGGAGCAAACAGG
rnacentral:rRNA from 1 species